GCCAGGUGUGCUGGCAUACGCCUGUAAUCCCAACAACUCGGGAGGCUGAGGCAAGAGGACUGUAAGAUUGAGACUAGCAAGAUCGAGACCAGCCUCAGCAACUUAGAAACUUGCCCUUAGCCCAAUUUAGUAAGAUCCUGUCUCAA
rnacentral:sRNA from 1 species